GACGAACGCUGGCGGCGUGCUUAACACAUGCAAGUCGAACGGAGCGAAUGAAAGCUUGCUUUUAUGAGCUUAGUGGCAAACGGGUGAGUAACACGUAGACAACCUGCCGACAGGAUGGGGACAACAUUCCGAAAGGAAUGCUAAUACCGAAUGAAGCGGAGGAGAGGCAUCUCUCCUCCGUGAAAGAUGGCCUCUAUUUAUAAGCUAUCACCUGUUGAUGGGUCUGCGUCUGAUUAGCUAGUUGGUGAGGUAACGGCUCACCAAGGCGACGAUCAGUAGCCGGUCUGAGAGGAUGAACGGCCACAUUGGGACUGAGACACGGCCCAGACUCCUACGGGAGGCAGCAGUGGGGAAUCUUCCGCAAUGGGCGCAAGCCCGACGGAGCAACGCCGCGUGAGUGAAGAAGGUCUUCGGAUCGUAAAGCUCUGUUGACGGGGACGAACGUGCGGAGUGCGAAUAGC
rnacentral:rRNA from 1 species